GGAAGUCUUAUCUUUCUCUGUGGAAGAACAACGAAGGAGGACGCAUGGAGGUUGUAUGCGCUCGCACCAAUAUUAUUUUUAUGAGCAACAACUUGUUGAGUUCCCCGUUCAGGCAACAGCGUUCAUGGACUUGAAGGGUGUUGAAGGAUCCAGGCACGGAUGCAUCCUUUGUUGUACUGGAGUGAGUCGUCCGUUCUUAAACCAAGGUUUAUUAAAAGGCCUAGAAUAUAAUUUUUGCCGUUUACCCAUCUGACUAAAUUUGGUUGCUGAGACUAACUGAACUACCAGUAAAAUCACAACACUGACCAUACCACAACUGUCAGUCAAAUUUGAUGUAUUAUUUUUUUGGUCUCAGAUGGUGCUGGCUAUGCCAGUAGUGUACUGAGGUGAGUUCAUUUCUAACUAUAAGCUAUGCUCUGCUAGUCGGUUGUUCUGCUGGUACUGUGAUGACUUCACACAUUUGCCGUUUACCCAUCUGACUAAAUUGGGGUGUUGAGACUGUCACUAACUGAACCACCAGCAUUAUUCUAACUAAAGAAUACAAUUUCAACCCACAACAUCUCGAUUGGAGGCCAAUGAUCAUCAGUAUAACAAUGUUUUUCUCCCACAGAUUUGAUUGGCUGGCAGGGUACUGAAGACACUAAGAGAUCUACACCAGGGGUGUCACUCAUUCCAUAGAGAGCCUAGUGUCUGUGGGUUUUCCUUUCAGUUAAGGCUUAGACAACCAGGUGAUGGAGUGACCUUAACUCGUCAAUCAAGUACAGGGAGCAGUGAAAACCUGCAUACACUCUGCCCUUCAUGCAAUGAGUUUGACACGCAAUCUACAUCUUGUUUUUGAGUUAAUGGGCCAGGAUGUAUAUUGAAGACUGACGGAGAUCUUGCCCUGUGAUUGGGUUUGAUGAUCCAGUAUGUGGAAUAUGAAGACUUAAAUCUCAACCCUAUGGUGAGUGUGAGGGCUAAAUAGCCAAUUGGUUUCCUUCAGUCUUCUACUGGAGUUGUGAUGACUUCUCACUUGCUGUUUACUGAUCUGACAAUAUUAGCAUUGAUCAUUGUAGGUAGACGCAGCGAUAUGGUAUAGAUGCAGCGAGGAAAGGGGAUAGUGGGUCAAUUUCCACAACUAAGCGUGAGCAUCUUGCUUAGCUCCAUAUCUGCGGUGCACCUCGUGGCAGGGGCAUUUUGCAGGGUCUACCUUCAAUCAUUAAACCUGCAAUCCCUGACUAAGGUUUGAGACUCUUAUUUCAUCAUGCAGGAUUGUUAGGUCUGCAGUAGGGGAGUUAUUUCCUGGGUUGAGAGGUGUCAAUUAAGAUUUUUCUACCCGUGUUCAUUCAUUUUAAAUGGAAUUGAUGCCUCUUCUGACAUUUCUGCUAAUUUACCCUGCUGAAAAGCCAUUCAUUUGAAUUACCAGCAUUGUAACUAAACCCACAAUGGUAGAAAGUUGUAGGUUGAUGGCUAAUCUCAUUUAUUUAACUGAUUUCUUCUAUUCAUUGACAAUUCACAAGGUUUGGAAAGAGGUGUAUGAAGUCCUUCACAAAUGUGACCCUGGAGACCUAAACUAUCACCCUAUUUACAACAUUCUUGCCUGUCAAAAAAGCACAACCUUGGUCUGACUCCCCUGCUUAAGGUUAAAUGUUUGUUUUGAUCAGAUUUUAUUCUGCCUUGUUAUGAAAUAAAAUAUUUUAUGGUACAUUAA